rnacentral:rRNA from 1 species
CCGUAAGAAUAAGCACCGGCUAACUACGUGCCAGCAGCCGCGGUAAUACGUAGGGUGCAAGCGUUAAUCGGAAUUACUGGGCGUAAAGCGCGCGCAGGCGGCCGCGUAAGUCGGAUGUGAAAUCCCACGGCUCAACCGAGGAAUUGCAUCCGAUACUGCGUGGCUAGAGGCAGGUAGGGGCGAGUGGAAUUCCCGGUGUAGCGGUGAAAUGCGCAGAUAUCGGGAGGAACACCGGUGGCGAAGGCGGCUCGCUGGGCCUGUCCUGACGCUCAGGCGCGAAAGCUAGGGGAGCAAACAGGAUUAGAUACCCUGGUAGUCCUAGCCGUAAACGUUGGGUGCUAGGUGUGGGGGGACGAUCGACCCCUUCCGUGCCGAAGCUAACGCAUUAAGCAUCCCCGCC